AUCUUUGAAGACCAAAUACCCAAAAGAUCUGCUUCAACCUUCCCCAGUUAAUCUUUUGCCAGAAGAUUCACAAUCUGAAUGUGGCUCUGUCCAUCAUUGGAAGUAAUUGGAAAGAAAACUUUGCCUGAAGCUACAUAAGAACUGGAACCAUUAAAUCAUGAAUGGUGGCAAGAUUCCAAAAUUAAUUAUGAAGACUAUUGGAAUGAUGUAGCAUCCUUUAACUCUUAUUGUGAUCGACAGAAGGUAUCAUAGAUGGACAACUCACUUUCCCUUUGCUCUGUGCUUCCUGAUGAUUUUAGGUCACGUCCACUCUGAAAUCUGAGCUGUCAUUAAAGCCGUGUCUUCAUGUCUGUCUGUCUGAAGCAGCAAAAAUAUAAAGAAAUCCUUCAGUCAAGUUUCCAUAAAGACCCUCUUUCCUGCUUCUGGCUGAGCUCCUACUAAAAAGAGAUUAAUGUGGAAAUUAAUCUAAUCCAGGAUUAAUAGUAGAAGACUUACUUAAACUGGGCAAUUUUCUGUCAAUUUGAUUAUAAUAAAUAUUUUGCAUUUAAGAGUU
rnacentral:lncRNA from 1 species